UGGGGAAUAUUGGACAAUGGGCGCAAGCCUGAUCCAGCAAUGCCGCGUGUGUGAAGAAGGCCUUCGGGUUGUAAAGCACUUUUAUCAGGAGCGAAACGCUGUCGGCUAAUACCCGGCGGAACUGACGGUACCUGAGGAAUAAGCACCGGCUAACUUCGUGCCAGCAGCCGCGGUAAUACGAAGGGUGCAAGCGUUAAUCGGAAUUACUGGGCGUAAAGCGUGCGUAGGCGGUUUCUUAAGUCUGCUGUGAAAUCCCCGGGCUCAACCUGGGAAUGGCAGUGGAUACUGGGAGGCUAGAGUGUGUCAGAGGGUGGUGGAAUUCCCGGUGUAGCGGUGAAAUGCGUAGAGAUCGGGAGGAACAUCAGUGGCGAAGGCGGCCACCUGGGACAACACUGACGCUGAGGCACGAAAAGCGUGGGGAGCAAACAGGAUUAGAUACCCUGGUAGUCCACGCCCUAAAACGAUGCGAACUGGAUGUUGGUCUCAACUCGGAGAUCAGUGUCGAAGCUAACGCGUUAAGUUCGCCGCCUGGGGAGUACGGUCGCAAGACUGAAACUCAAAGGAAUUGACGGGGUCAUAGCUGUUUCCUG
rnacentral:rRNA from 1 species